CCUACGGGUGGCAGCAGUGGGGAAUAUUGCGCAAUGGGGGAAACCCUGACGCAGCAACGCCGCGUGAGUGAAGACGUCUCUCGGUAUGUAAAGCUCUAUCAGCGGGGAAGAAAGAAGACGGUACCCGACUAAGAAGCCCCUGCUAACUACGUGCCAGCAGCCGCGGUAAUACGUAGGGGGCGAGCGUUAUCCGGAUUUACUGGGGGUAAAGGGAGCGUAUAGGGCGUCGCAAGUCUGAAGUGAAAGCCCAUGGCUCAACCGCCGAACCGCAUUUGAAACUGGGUGUCUGGAGUGCUGGAGAGGCAAGCGGAAUUCGUGGGGUAGCGGUGAAAUGCGUAGAUAGCAGGAGGAACACCGGUGGCGAAGGCGGCUUACUGGACAGUGACUGACGUUGAGGCUCGAAAGCGUGGGGAGCGAACAGGAUUAGAUACCCCUGUAGUC
rnacentral:rRNA from 1 species